CAGUAGCCACGGGAAUACGUAGGGCGCGAGCGUUGUCCGGAAUUAUUGGGCGUAAAGGACUCGUAGGCGGCUUGUCGCGUCUGCUGUGAAAAUGCGGGGCUUAACUCCGUACGUGCAGUGGGUACGGGCAGGCUAGAGUGCGGUAGGGGUGACUGGAAUUCCUGGUGUAGCGGUGGAAUGCGCAGAUAUCAGGAGGAACACCGAUGGCGAAGGUAGGUCACUGGGCUGUUACUGACGCUGAGGAGCGAAAGCGUGGGGAGCGAACGGGAUUAGAUACCCGGGUAGUCCCUGUCUCUUAUAC
rnacentral:rRNA from 1 species